GAUGAACGCUGGCGGCGUGCCUAAUACAUGCAAGUCGAGCGAACAGAUGAGGAGCUUGCUCCUCUGACGUUAGCGGCGGACGGGUGAGUAACACGUGGAUAACCUACCUAUAAGACUGGGAUAACUUCGGGAAACCGGAGCUAAUACCGGAUAAUAUAUUGAACCGCAUGGUUCAAUAGUGAAAGACGGUUUUGCUGUCACUUAUAGAUGGAUCCGCGCCGCAUUAGCUAGUUGGUAAGGUAACGGCUUACCAAGGCAACGAUGCGUAGCCGACCUGAGAGGGGGAUCGGCCACACUGGAACUGAGACACGGUCCAGACUACUACGGGAGGCAGCAGUAGGGAAUCUUCCGCAAUGGGCGAAAGCCUGACGGAGCAACGCCGCGUGAGUGAUGAAGGUCUUCGGAUCGUAAAACUCUGUUAUUAGGGAAGAACAAAUGUGUAAGUAACUAUGCACGUCUUGACGGUACCUAAUCAGAAAGCCACGGCUAACUACGUG
rnacentral:rRNA from 1 species